rnacentral:rRNA from 1 species
UCUGGUUGAUCCUGCCAGAGGUUACUGCUAUCGGUGUUCGCCUAAGCCAUGCGAGUCAUAUGUAGCAAUACAUGGCGUACUGCUCAGUAACACGUGGAUAACCUGCCCUUGGGACCGGCAUAACCCCGGGAAACUGGGGAUAAUUCCGGAUAACGCAUAUUUGCUGGAAUGCUUUAUGCGUCAAAAGGAUUCGUCUGCCCAAGGAUGGGUCUGCGGCCUAUCAGGUAGUAGUGGGUGUAAUGUACCUACUAGCCAGCGACGGGUACGGGUUGUGAGAGCAAGAGCCCGGAGAUGGAUUCUGAGACACGAAUCCAGGCCCUACGGGGCGCAGCAGGCGCGAAAACUUUACAAUGCGGGCAACCGUGAUAAGGGAACCUCGAGUGCCUGUAAAUGCAGGCUGUUCAGAUGCCUAAAACACAUCUGGAGAAAGGGCCGGGCAAGACCGGUGCCAGCCGCCGCGGUAAUACCGGCGGCUCGAGUGGUGGCCACUUUUAUUGGGCUUAAAGCGUUCGUAGCUGGGUUGUUAAGUCUCUUGGGAAAUCUGGCGGCUUAACCGUCAGGCGUCUAAGGGAUACUGGCAAUCUUGGAACCGGGAGAGGUGAGGGGUACUUCGGGGGUAGGAGUGAAAUCCUGUAAUCCUCGAGGGACCACCUGUGGCGAAGGCGCCUCACCAGAACGGCUUCGACAGUGAGGGACGAAAGCUGGGGGAGCAAACCGGAUUAGAUACCCGGGUAGUCCCAGCCGUAAACUAUGCGCGUUAGGUGUAUCGGUGACCACGAGUUACCGAGGUGCCGAAGGGAAACCGUGAAACGUGCCGCCUGGGAAGUACGGUCGCAAGGCUGAAACUUAAAGGAAUUGGCGGGGGAGCACCACAACAGGUGGAGCCUGCGGUUUAAUUGGACUCAACGCCGGGAAGCUCACCGGAUAGGACAGCAGAAUGAUUGCCGGGCUGAAGACCCUGCAUGACUAGCUGAGAGGAGGUGCAUGGCCGUCGUCAGUUCGUACUGUGAAGCAUCCUGUUAAGUCAGGCAACGAGCGAGACCC